rnacentral:rRNA from 1 species
UACGGAGGAUCCAAGCGUUAUCCGGAUUUAUUGGGUUUAAAGGGUGCGUAGGCGGCCUAUUAAGUCAGGGGUGAAAGACGGUAGCUUAACUAUCGCAGUGCCCUUGAUACUGAUGGGCUUGAAUGUACUUGAGGUAGGCGGAAUGUGACAAGUAGCGGUGAAAUGCAUAGAUAUGUCACAGAACGCCAAUUGCGAAGGCAGCUUACUAAAGUAUGAUUGACGCUGAGGCACGAAAGCGUGGGGAUCAAACAGG